AUUGAACGCUGGCGGCAGGCCUAACACAUGCAAGUCGAGCGGAUGAAGGGAGCUUGCUCCUGGAUUCAGCGGCGGACGGGCGAGUAAUGCCUAGGAAUCUGCCUGGUAGUGGGGGAUAACGUCCGGAAACGGGCGCUGAUACCGCCUACGUCCUGAGGGAGAAAGUGGGGGAUCUUCGGACCUCACGCUAUCAGAUGAGCCUAGGUCGGAUUAGCUAGUUGGUGGGGUAAAGGCCUACCAAGGCGACGAUCCGUAACUGGUCUGAGAGGAUGACUAGUCACACGGGAACUGAGACACGGUCCAGACGCCUACGGGAGGCAGCAGUGGGGAAUAUGGGACAAUGGGCGAAAGCCUGAUCCAGCCAUGCCGCGUGUGUGAAGAAGGUCUUCGGAUUGUAAAGCACUUGAAGUUGGGAGGAAGGGCAGUAAGUUAAUACCUUGCUGUUUUGACGUUAACAACAGAAGAAGCACCGGCUAACUUCGUG
rnacentral:rRNA from 1 species